UGGUGGAUGAGUGGCGAACGGGUGAGUAACACGUGAGUAACCUGCCCCUGAUUUCGGGAUAAGCCUGGGAAACUGGGUCUAAUACCGGAUACGACCACCUGACGCAUGUCGGGUGGUGGAAAGUUUUUCGAUCGGGGAUGGGCUCGCGGCCUAUCAGCUUGUUGGUGGGGUAAUGGCCUACCAAGGCGACGACGGGUAGCCGGCCUGAGAGGGCGACCGGCCACACUGGGACUGAGACACGGCCCAGACUCCUACGGGAGGCAGCAGUGGGGAAUAUUGCACAAUGGGGGAAACCCUGAUGCAGCGACGCAGCGUGCGGGAUGACGGCCUUCGGGUUGUAAACCGCUUUCAGCAGGGAAGAAGCGAAAGUGACGGUACCUGCAGAAGAAGUACCGGCUAACUACGUGCCAGCAGCCGCGGUAAUACGUAGGGUACGAGCGUUGUCCGGAAUUAUUGGGCGUAAAGAGCUCGUAGGUGGUUGGUCACGUCUGCUGUGGAAACGCAACGCUUAACGUUGCGCGUGCAGUGGGUACGGGCUGACUAGAGUGCAGUAGGGGAGUCUGGAAUUCCUGGUGUAGCGGUGAAAUGCGCAGAUAUCAGG
rnacentral:rRNA from 1 species